ACGCCGCGUGAGGGAUGAAGGCCUCUGGGCUGUAAACCUCUUUUCUCAAGGAAGAAGAUCUGACGGUACUUGAGGAAUAAGCCACGGCUAAUUCCGUGCCAGCAGCCGCGGUAAUACGGGAGUGGCAAGCGUUAUCCGGAAUUAUUGGGCGUAAAGCGUCCGCAGGCGGCCUUGUAAGUCUGUCGUUAAAGCGUGGAGCUUAACUCCAUUUCAGCGAUGGAAACUACAAGGCUUGAGUGUGGUAGGGGCAGAGGGAAUUCCCGGUGUAGCGGUGAAAUGCGUAGAUAUCGGGAAGAACACCAGUGGCGAAGGCGCUCUGCUGGGCCAUAACUGACGCUCAUGGACGAAAGCCAGGGGAGCGAAAGGGAUUAGAUACCCCUGUAGUC
rnacentral:rRNA from 2 species